rnacentral:rRNA from 1 species
AUAACGAACGAGACUCUAGCCUGCUAAAUAGGCGACGGAUUUCAAGGCCCGCGAGGGUCCUCAAACUGGCCCGGGAUGGCCGUGCGGGAUCAGGUCGCGUCGGUCGUCGGGGCAACUCGGCGGUCGGCGCGGUCCCCGUCGGCGGCCCGGGUCGCGUCCGUCGCGUCUCUUCUUAGAGGGACAAGCGGCGUCCAGCCGCGUGACAGUGAGCAAUAACAGGUCUGUGAUGCCCUUAGAUGUCCUGGGCCGCACGCGCGCUACACUGAAGGAAUCAGCGUGUUUCACCGUCCCUGUCCGAAAGGACCGGGUAACCGCUGAACCUCCUUCGUGGUUGGGAUUGGGGACUGCAAUGAUCCCCAUGAACCAGGAAUCCCUAGUAGGCGCGGGUCACUAGCCCGCGUCGAUUACGUCCCUGCCCUUUGUACACACCGCCCGUCGCUACUACCGAUUGAAUGAUUUAGUGAGGACUUCGGACGGGCUCGCCGGGGACGGGCCGUCGGGGGCAACUCUGCCGGUUCGUCCUACUCACGGAGAGACUGAAAGAUGUUCGAACUUGAUCCUUUAGAGGAAGUAAAAGU